AAACAAAUAGGUUUCGGGGCGAGCGUUGGGUUCCGCCGCGCCGCGCUGGGCGCUCGUCCGCCUCAGCGGUGGAGAGCGAGCGAGGCCUCCCGCCGCCGCUGCUGUGUCGGGGUGGUGCAGCCCGGGGCUGGGGCUGGGGCCGGGGCGAGGCAGGAGCGCAGGCCAAUCGUAAGAGAAGGCUGAAGGUAAAGGUUGGAAGAUAACCCCUUCUACCCAUCAAUACUUCGUAGUGACCUUACAGGAAGAAAAGUGAGUAAUGUGUUUUUCAAGAGUUGCUAUCUUAAUUAAAAAGUAGAUUAGGGCAUAAAAUUAAAAUUUUAUUAUUUUUUUUUAUUAUUUUUGUACUCUAACAUACUUUUCAUUAACAUGAAGAUAAGUGUUUUCAACUAAUCUGUAAAGAUACUCAAUAACCUAAUGGGGAAAAAGAAAGAAGUCAACAAAUAUAUUCUGUUUGGUUCCUUUUAUAUAAUAUUUCUUGUGCUUCUUUUAACUUUCUAACCCUUUUCCUCUCAUUGCUGAAUGGGUUCAGAUAAGUUAUAUGAAAUGUACUCUGAAAAAUUGUAAUUUUUAAAUAGAAUACUAAGGUUUUAAAAUGUUUUUAACUUCAAAAAGUGACCUUGAGAUCUAAGGAAAAAUUGUAGUAAUUUUCUGCGCCUCCAGGUGGUAUUAUAAGCUGAUACUUAUUUUUGAAAUAGGAAAUAGCAUAAUGAAAAU
rnacentral:lncRNA from 1 species